GUAUGUGUGUGUGUGUGUGUGUGUGUGUGUGUGAUAGUGAGAGAGGGAGAGAUAGAGAGAGAAAGAGAGAAAGUGCAGAUAUUGUUAUAGCAUUAAAUGUGAACACAUUCAUUCAUUCCACAGAUAAAUGAGUCUAUGUUAAUUGGUUUCUUGUGUCUCCUUGAGUUUAUAGACAACACACACACAGACCUCCAUCUCCAGUGCCCAGCUGUGUGUCCAUGAAGAGUGACCGGUCCAUGCCUUUACCUCUUAACUUCAGCAGUGAACCAGUUCCAUCAGGUCUUAAACGACACACACACAGACCUCCAUCUCCAGUGCCCAGCUGUGUGUCCAUGAAGAGUAAUCGGUCCAUGCCUUUACCUCUUAACUUCAGCAGUGAACCAGUUCCAUCAGGUCUUAAGUGAGUAGUUUUUAUAUUCAGACAUUUCAGUGAUGUCACAUGCAAUUAUUGACACA
ensembl:lncRNA